rnacentral:rRNA from 1 species
UACGUAGGGGGCAAGCGUUGUCCGGAAUCGUUGGGCGUAAAGAGCGUGUAGGCGGCCCGAUAAGUCCGCCGUGAAAGUCCAGGGCUCAACCCUGGAAUGCCGGUGGAAACUGUCGGGCUGGAGUCCGGAAGAGGCGAGUGGAAUUCCUGGUGUAGCGGUGAAAUGCGCAGAUAUCAGGAGGAACACCAAUGGCGAAGGCAGCUCGCUGGGACGGUACUGACGCUGAGACGCGAAAGCGUGGGGAGCAAACAGG